UACGGGGGGGGUAAGCGUUGUUCGGAAUUACUGGGCGUAAAGGGCUCGUAGGCGGCCAACUAAGUCAUACGUGAAAUCCCUCAGCUUAACUGGGGAACUGCGUGUGAUACUGGAUGGCUUGGAUUUGGGAGAGGGAUGCGGAAUUCCAGGUGUAGCGGUGAAAUGCGCAGAUAUCGGGAGGAACACCAAUGGCGAAGGCAGCUCGCUGGGACGGUACUGACGCUGAGACGCGAAAGCGUGGGGAGCAAACAGG
rnacentral:rRNA from 1 species